rnacentral:lncRNA from 1 species
GGAAAUUGUAUGCUGCUGCGCCCAAGUAGCUGAUGAUCACUUCAGGGAGUACCUCCACAGCAUUUAACAUGCAGAAGUACAGUGCUACUUAGUUCACAUGAUCUGAACCGGUUCCAGAAUGCAGUUACACCAACCAUGAUCAAAACCAGCAGACGUGGUAACUCGGGCCUGCUUUACUUUAUAAGGAGACGUGCCUCCCUGUGGGUAGUAAACAGAAGCUUAUUUUGCACAAGGAGCAUCUGCUAGAAUCACCACAACCAGAAGAGAUGAUACAGAGCCUUUUGGAGCAGGAAAGCAAUGCACAUCAGUCUUGAAAAAACACAGACUGUGUACAGUGCCCGUGUUCUAGGAUGCUGUAGAGCUAUAGGCGCUAGAAGUAAAAUACGUCAAAGAAGAGGAAUAAACAGUGGCACAAUGUUCUUUCAACAAGCAAUCCUCCUCCUUGAGAUGAGGCCAGCUUUCAAAGAACAUCAAUGAUGAAAUCCAUACAAAUGCAAUGUACCUGUUAAAAACACGUUACGCGCUACAAGGAAAGGAAAUGAGACAAAAUGAAGGUGGAGGCAGUUUCUUGAAUAGUUGGAUUUUGAUGAGAAGCCAAGUACUAAAAAUGUCUCUCUUCUGUCACACUGUUUUCCAGUUGUCCUUUCAGCCUCAAACCUUCUAACUACAGUAGUACUGCAUCCUAUUAGUCCGUCGUCUUUUCCGUGACUGAAAUUCUUCAAAGAAGUGCUGAAUGUCUUCUCUUUUAACAACC